AGGGUCAUAGCUUAAAUUGGUAGAGCAUACUGCUCAUGAUAGUUCUAGUGAAAGUUCGAUCCUUUCUGGCCCUA
rnacentral:tRNA from 1 species